UGUUUCUUCUUUGGGAAUUUAGCUGGUAAUUGGAGUUUUUGUUUGAACGAAAGACGAAGAAGUCAACAUCGUUCGGGUGGUGGUUGAUUCUAAAAGUUUGUCGUCCCUUUUGCUACCCUGAAAGAGUUGAUAUGUAAAGGUAUUUCAACUGUCGUCAUUAUGGGAUAGUAUCGUAGUUGUCGAGAUGGCUUGUUGCUAGCAAAGUUACCCCUCAAGAGUCUUUGGCUUCUCAUACGCUGAAAGGACGAUGAGUGAGGUCCAAAAUGCGCUAGGAAGUCCAAGGAUCCCUCGAUAGCCAUGUCGCUCGAAUGUGGAGGAGGAUCAUAGUAACGUGUUGAUUUGUUCAUCAUUAUUGGGUGACAGUCUUAGAUUGUUGUUUUCGGUUUAACUGGUAACACCAUCCGAAGGGCUCCCUUGAGAGCUCUACUGUCUGUUUUUUUCUUGCCAAAAGUGGUAAUGAGAUAUGUCUCAAGUCACACCACAAAUCGCAUUAUUCUCCGAUAACCGUUUUGAUUGUUAAAAAUCUCAUAUUUUAGAAUUCAUCGAAAAGAGGAGAAGAAUCAAGAUGGUAUUCUCUGCCACCCCCCAUUUUAGUUUGUGGAUUACGUCUGCCUUUUAUUAUCAAAAACCAAAAUUUGAAUUUCCCGUUGUUUGUGUUCAAGAUAUGUUGUGAUUAAAAGGAAUAGGUUUUUUUUUUGGUUCCACAAUCGGGUUAAUGGUUCAGUACCUUCUUUAUAUUCAUAUGAUAUAUAGUGAUGAUAUGGUCUGCUGCUGAUUGUUACAUAACAAUCCUUGAGAACUGUGCCUUCGAUUCCCUAUGUGUUUCUAAAAUCUGUUAAGUUUAAAAGGAAAUUUUAAUCUGGCUAGGAAAUUUUUCUUUUAGAAUAGUCUAUUCUAUUUUUGGCCAUAUUCUUGCACCAGUUUGAGAUUUCGCUUGAUGAUUGGCGUAAGAUUCGUUUCUUUGUGUAUGUUCAUAAAUGCUUUAUUAAUUAUAUUGUAAACGACUUGAUUAAUUAUUGGGGUCUCAUUUAUUAUAUUAUAUUCGUGCAGUGAUAUGAUUGUUCAUUACUUCACUCUUCUCCAUUUUUUCUCUUUUACCAAUCGUAUACUAAUGAGUGAUUUUUCGUUCUUUGCAUGAAAUCGUGUGAGUCCUGCACGGACUCUGUUCUGUUUCGUGUUUUACAAGGGCCAAUCCGGCCCAUCCCAUCGAGUUGGUUUCAAAGAAAAUCCAUACGUCGAUUUCAUAGCAUACAAAGAGUCAAAAGAAGAAGAAAUGUGCCAAAGUCCCAUAUUUGAAGUCACAAAAGACCGGAGAGCCUUGUUUUCCUUAUCUUCACUUAUUGUCGUCUUAUUCAUAUAUUUAUUAUCAUCCUUGUUUAUUUAUUUGUCCAUAUUUCAUUAUUCAUUCAUUCGGGCCAUGAAGCCAAAGUUGUUUUUAAUACAGGUGGAGCAAGACUCGAGCCAAAGACUCAAAAACUAGAUUAGGACAUGUGAAAUGGGUUAAAGGCCCAAUUAGACUAGGACAGGUCUCAUUGAUUUGGGCCGAUGGCCUAAAUCCCUUACUUCCUCCCUUUCCCUCUACUCUUUAUGGUUUUUUUCC